rnacentral:rRNA from 1 species
AUUGAACGCUGGCGGAAUGCUUUACACAUGCAAGUCGAACGGCAGCACGGACUUCGGUCUGGUGGCGAGUGGCGAACGGGUGAGUAAUGUAUCGGAACGUGCCCAGUCGUGGGGGAUAACGUAGUGAAAAUUACGCUAAUACCGCAUACGAUCUAUGGAUGAAAGCGGGGGAUCGUAAGACCUCGCGCGAUUGGAGCGGCCGAUAUCAGAUUAGGUAGUUGGUGGGGUAAAGGCCCACCAAGCCAACGAUCUGUAGCUGGUCUGAGAGGACGACCAGCCACACUGGAACUGAGACACGGUCCAGACGCCUACGGGGGGCAGCAGUGGGGAAUUUUGGACAAUGGGCGAAAGCCUGAUCCAGCCAUUCCGCGUGCAGGAUGAAGGCCCUCGGGUUGUAAACUGCUUUUGUACAGAACGAAAAGGUUUCUACUAAUACUAGGAGCUCAUGACGGUACUGUAAGAAUAAGCACCGGCUAACUACGUGCCAGCCGCCGCUGUAA